GCGGCGAGCGAAAAGAAAUCAGUUCAGCACUAAGCCAUUUUGUCUUUAUGGCAAAUAUGGGAUGCAGUGUAUGGAACAUCUAUAAUCUAGUAUGAGAAAUUAACGAUUUAAGUCCUUCUUAAAUGAGGCCAUUUACCCAUAGAGGGUGCCAGGCCCGUAUAACGUUAAUGAUUACUAGAAGGUGUUUCCAAAGAGUCGUGUUGCUUGAUAGUGCAGCACUAAGUGGGUGGUAAACUCCAUCUAAAACUAAAUAUAACCAUGAGACCGAUAGUAAACAAGUACCGUGAGGGAAAGUUGAAAAGAACUCUGAAUAGAGAGUUAAAUAGUACGUGAAACUGCUUAGAGAUUAAACCUGAUGAACCUGAAUCUCCAUUAUGGAAAAUUCAUCACUAAUAAUUUAAUAUUAUUUAUAAUAUUAAAUAAAUAGUGUGCAAUUUUUCCAUAUAAGGACAUUGUAAUCUGUUAAUGAAAUAAAAAUUUAUCAAAAGAUCUUUUACUUAAGUUUAUUCAAAUUGAUUAUUUUCGGAUUUUCAACAUAGAAUAAAUGUAAUUGAUUUGAUAAAGCAUUGACAGAUAUAAUUAUAUAAAGUGCAAAAAUUUUUCGGAAUUUAACAAUGAUAUAUUAAUCUAUUGAUUUUUAUAUUUAAUUGUUUGCGCUUUUAUGAUUAACAAUGCGAUAGAUUCAGGAUACCUUCAGGACCCGUCUUGAAACACGGACCAAGGAGUCUAACAUAUGUGCAAGUCAUUGGGUAUUUUUAAUAAAACCCAAUGGCGUAAUUAACUUAACUGUUAUUUAAUGGGAUUAAUUUAUAUUUUUUUAAAAAAUAUUAAAUUCAAUCCCGGGGCGUUCUAUACAGUUAUGUAUAAUAAUAUUUAUAUUAUUUAUACCUCUAACUAGAGCGUACCUUGAGCAUAUAUGCUGUGACCCGAAAGAUGGUGAACUAUACUUGAUCAGGUUGAAGUCAGGGGAAACCCUGAUGGAAGACCGAAACAGUUCUGACGUGCAAAUCGAUUGUCAGAAUUGAGUAUAGGGGCGAAAGACUAAUCGAACCAUCUAGUAGCUGGUUCCCUCCGAAGUUUCCCUCAGGAUAGC
rnacentral:rRNA from 1 species